AGAGUUUGAUCCUGGCUCAGAACGAACGCUGGCGGCAUGCCUAAUACAUGCAAGUCGAACGAGAAAGUCCUUCGGGAUGAGUACAGUGGCGCACGGGUGAGUAACACGUAGGUGACCUACCUCUUAGCGGGGGACAACAGAGAGAAGUCUCUGCUAAUACCGCAUAAGCUGAGCAAAUCUGGAAGUAGCUCAGGAAAGAUCGCGACCAUUCGUGGGCGAUCACUAAGAGAGGGGCCUGCGGACCAUUAGCUAGUUGGUGGGGUAAUGGCCUACCAAGGCAAUGAUGGUUAGCCGGUCUGAGAGGAUGAUCGGCCACACUGGAACUGGAACACGGUCCAGACUCCUACGGGAGGCAGCAGUAGGGAAUCUUGCGCAAUGGGGGCAACCCUGACGCAGCAAUGCCGCGUGAGUGAGGAAGGCCUUAGGGUCGUAAAGCUCUGUCGGUGGGGAAAAAUGGCAUUUGGGGUAAUAUCCUAAGUGUGUGAUGGUACCCACAAAGGAAGCACCGGCUAACUUCGUGCCAGCAGCCGCGGUAAUACGAAGGGUGCAAGCGUUGUUCGGAUUUAUUGGGCGUAAAGGGCGCGUAGGCGGAUCUGCAAGUCAUAUGUGAAAGCCCAGGGCCUAACCCUGGAACUGCGUGUGAAACUACAGAUCUAGAAUCUCGGAGAGGAAAGGAGAAUUUCGCAUGUAGGGGUAAAAUCCGUAGAGAUGCGAAGGAAUACCGGAAGUGAAAACGCCUUUCUGGACGAGUAUUGACGCUGAGGCGCGAAAGCGUGGGGAGCAAACAGGAUUAGAUACCCUGGUAGUCCACGCCGUAAACGAUGAGUACUAGUGGUCGUGGGAUUGACCCCCGCGGUCACAAAGCUAACGCAUUAAGUACUCCGCCUGGGAAGUACGGUCGCAAGACUAAAACUCAAAGGAAUUGACGGGGGCCCGCACAAGCGGUGGAUUAUGUGGUUUAAUUCGAAGCAACGCGCAGAACCUUACCUAGGCUUGACAUCCUGGAAACCCUCCCCAAAAGGAGGGGUGCCCUUCGGGGAAUCCAGAGACAGGUGCUGCAUGGCUGUCGUCAGCUCGUGUUGUGAAAUGUUGGGUUAAGUCUCGCAACGAGCGCAACCCCUGUUCUUAGUUGCCAGCAUUAAGUUGGGCACUCUAAGGAGACUGCCUGGGUAACCAGGAGGAAGGUGGGGAUGACGUCAAGUCCUCAUGGCCCUUAUGCCUAGGGCUACACACGUAAUACAAUGGCCAGUACAAAGGGAUGCCAACCCGCGAGGGGGAGCAAAUCUUAAAAAGCUGGUCUCAGUCCGGAUCGGAGUCUGCAACUCGACUCCGUGAAGUUGGAAUCGCUAGUAAUCGCGGAUCAGAACGCCGCGGUGAAUACGUUCCCGGGCCUUGUACACACCGCCCGUCACACCAUGGGAGUUGGCCCAACCUGAAGCCGUGACCCUAACCCGCAAGGGAGGGAGCGUCCACGGUGGGGUCGAUGACUGGGGUGAAGUCGUAACAAGGUA
rnacentral:rRNA from 1 species